UACGGGAGGCAGCAGUGGGGAAUAUUGCACAAUGGGCGCAAGCCUGAUGCAGCCAUGCCGCGUGUAUGAAAAAGGCCUUUCGGGUUGUAAAGUACUUUCAGUCGUGAGGAAGGUGUUAAGGUUAAUAACCUUAGCAAUUGACGUUAGCGACAGAAGAAGCACCGGCUAACUCCGUGCCAGCAGCCGCGGUAAUACGGAGGGUGCGAGCGUUAAUCGGAAUUACUGGGCGUAAAGGGCACGCAGGCGGUUAAUUAAGUUGGAUGUGAAAUCCCCGGGCUUAACCUGGGAAUGGCAUUCAAGACUGGUUAGCUAGAGUCUUGUAGAGGGGGUAGAAUUCCAUGUGUAGCGGUGAAAUGCGUAGAGAUGUGGAGGAAUACCGGUGGCGAAGGCGGCCCCUGGACAAAGACUGACGCUCAUGUGCGAAAGCGUGGGGAGCAAACAGGGAUUAGAUACC
rnacentral:rRNA from 1 species